GGGGUUGUGGCUCAAUGGUAGAGUGCUCGCCUCACAAGUGCAAGGCCCUGGGUUCGAUCCUUAGCAAAACUA
rnacentral:tRNA from 1 species